rnacentral:rRNA from 1 species
UACGUAGGUGGCAAGCGUUGUCCGGAUUUAUUGGGUUUAAAGGGUGCGUAGGCUGUCUAUUAAGUCAGUGGUGAAAUAUCGCAGCUUAACUGUGAGGGUGCCAUUGAUACUGAUGGACUUGAGUGAAGUCGAAGUAGGCGGAAUUGACGGUGUAGCGGUGAAAUGCUUAGAUAUCGUCAAGAACACCGAUAGUGAAGACAGCUUACUAGGCUUAUACUGACGCUGAGGCACGAAAGUGUGGGGAUCAAACAGG